rnacentral:lncRNA from 1 species
UGGCAGAAGGUGUGCAGGCACGCCAGCAGCUUGGGCGCGCGCCGGUCCGCGUCGAAGUAGUUGUAGCAGAUUUUGCACUCGUAGUCCUCGAGCGGAGGGAGGCCGGAGACCGUCACCGUGGCGCUCCGGGCUCCCGAGUCCCCGCCGUCCCGAGCUCCCGCCACGGUGCCCCCGGCUCCUGUGGAGCUCCCGGGGCUGCUGGAUGGGCUCCGCUCGCCGGCGUCCCCGCCGCCGCUAUCGCUCGUCGGCGCUGCCAUGGCAGGAUCCGCCCCUCAUCGGGGGCAAGGUUGGACCUCACCCUAUGAAGAGAGAACCCCUCCCCUCGAACCCCCAGCAAGGAACAGGAAGGGGAUGGCUCUCUGGGUUCUCAGGAGGUGGCAAUGUCCCCUCUUUCUCUCUGGAUUCUCAGCAGAAGACAGCAAGAUGCCCCAGGGAAUAUUUGUGGAAAACGACGAAUGAAUGGGGAACAGGCUGAAGGAAAGGAAAGAAAGCUACUGCCAAAGUCUCCUUUGCUGCCUGACAAGCUGAGGAGCCAACACCCCCAGGAGCAGCCCUGCCCCGGUG